AAACCCGGUGAUCUAGCCAUGGGCAGGUUGAAGGUUGGGUAACACUAACUGGAGGACCGAACCGACUAAUGUUGAAAAAUUAGCGGAUGACUUGUGGCUGGGGGUGAAAGGCCAAUCAAACCGGGAGAUAGCUGGUUCUCCCCGAAAGCUAUUUAGGUAGCGCCUCGUGAACUCAUCUUCGGGGGUAGAGCACUGUUUCGGCUAGGGGGCCAUCCCGGCUUACCAAACCGAUGCAAACUCCGAAUACCGAAGAAUGUUAUCACGGGAGACACACGGCGGGUGCUAACGUCCGUCGUGAAGAGGGAAACAACCCAGACCGCCAGCUAAGGUCCCAAAGUCAUGGUUAAGUGGGAAACGAUGUGGGAAGGCAUAGACAGCCAGGAUGUUGGCUUAGAAGCAGCCAUCAUUUAAAGAAAGCGUAAUAGCUCACUGGUCGAGUCGGCCUGCGCGGAAGAUGUAACGGGGCUAAACCAUGCACCGAAGCUGCGGCAGCGACGCUUAGGCGUUGUUGGGUAGGGGAGCGUUCUGUAAGCCGUUGAAGGUGAACUGUGAGGUUUGCUGGAGGUAUCAGAAGUGCGAAUGCUGACAUAAGUAACGAUAAAGCGGGUGAAAAACCCGCUCGCCGGAAGACCAAGGGUUCCUGUCCAACGUUAAUCGGGGCAGGGUGAGUCGACCCCUAAGGCGAGGCCGAAAGGCGUAGUCGAUGGGAAACAGGUUAAUAUUCCUGUACUCGGUGUUACUGCGAAGGGGGGACGGAGAAGGCUAGGCUAGCCGGGCGACGGUUGUC
rnacentral:rRNA from 1 species